CUUUGCAUCUGCUUCCAUCAGUUACUGGAUAAACUAUGAUGACAGUUAGGGUAUUAACCAAUCUGAUUACUGGGGGCUGGGUUUUGAUAGCUUGGCUACAUACACCCUGAACCAUGAUUGGAAGAUGAAGAAUAUCUUCAGGAAAUGAUGCCUACAGAAAUGGAAGUUAGGUUAUUUGAGAUAUGAUCUUGAAGAAGAUAUUGGGACUGCCCGUGACUUCUUCCUUAUGACUGAUAUCUAUGAUCAGGUUUUCACAACGGAGCCCAGCCUGGCUGUUCACUUUCAAUCUAUUGGACUCUCUCUUCAACUGCUGGAGAUACCGCUGUGUACCACAUUGCCCCCAAAACCUGUAUGUGUUUUCUAGCAAUAUGGCAAAUAAGCUAAAUAUCUGAUUAAAAGACUUAAAAGCUGAAGGAAAGAAAAGAAGAGAUUUUAAGCUUAAAAUUUUGGCCACAAAUUAAAGCACUUCAUGGGUUAGAGCUAAUUUAAAAUAAAAUUUCUGGGAGUUGAAAUGAG